GUGAGGAUGGCUGCGCGCGCGUUUGAGCGCUCGCGCGCGGCGACCCGUCUGUCUCCUUCUUUUUUAAAUGUAACCUGGUUUAUUGGGCUCUCGGCGUAUUCUUGCGUUCCUUCUUCACUGGGACAAGACACCACUGUACUAUUGGACUACGGCAAGCUGGUGCCGUCCGGUGGAGCUUCAUACAGGAACUACUGCCUUACCUGCUGGUGUCACAACGUUGGAUGAACGCACAAAAUGCGCGGAACGAGCUUUUAUAUAGAGCAAAAUAAAUAUUUCCAAA